rnacentral:lncRNA from 1 species
GUACUAGUGCAGUGUAGAACCCUUUUCUCAGGCAAAACCUAACAUCUGACCGCACCCUUUUUGCUAUUAAAAAAAAAAAAAAGCUUCUAUUUUUUUCCUCCUGUCGUUAAGAUAAAUUCUCCAGUAGACAACCUCUCCCACUAAUUGUGUAUUAGCAACGUAUUUUAUCUUGAGAGCUUGUACACUGGGCUCUCAACGUGGUGUGGAAGGUAGCCUGUUACAGUGCUGGAUUCAUAAAAGGGCCUUUAUGGUUUGUGAAAGAAUAUCUGUGUGCUUAGGGAGGAAACUUUUUGAUCUGCAGAAAAGCCAGAAGACAUCUAGGACAUCCAUAAAAAUUCAUCAGAGAGCAUUUUACUACUGAGCUGCAAAGGGAAAAACUUAAAAUGGAUAUGAAAAGUGAAGAAAGUGAUCAUAGGAGAAAACCAUUUCAGGUAAAAAUAAAAAACAAAGAGCAAAUAAGAUUUACUGUUUUUAAAGAAAAACAACAUUCUUUUGACUGUGUUUUGUUAUAAGAAUUAAUUUCAUAUUCUUUAUGAGUGUAACUGUUGAAAUUUUAUUGAUGGUUUUCAUUUGAAAAUGUGUGCUAUGACCUACCUUUGUGAAAAAU